UUCAUCAAAGUACCAGCUGUUGACCCUUUCAUCUUAAGAGAGAUAUGUGAAUUACCUCACAGACUGGGCCUUUAGCAUAAUUAAUCAGAGAAACAACUUACACCUCAUUAUCUGAUAAAUAUGCCAUUGAAUGGACUAGUAUAAAGCCACAAAUCUUUAAAAUAAAUUAUGCUCAAAGUCACAAUCUUAUUUCAUUUCACAUUUUUGGUUUGGGGGUCUUCUUAUACAGAAACAUGAAGGAUUUUAUUGUAGUCUUAAUGUUCUACUUGGGGAGAUUCAGCUCAUCACUUGAAAGGGCCUUAACUGCUGUUUAGAUGACAUAUCUAAUGAAACUUCAUAGGAAUGUGUAGUAUGGCUUUAGAAGUUUCUGUGCCGAGUUUUAGGAAAAUCAAAGAAGGUUGGCCAUGGGACAAGUGCAUGGGCCUCAAAUUCAUGACCUCCUGGUAACAAAGUGAAAACUGUUAGCACUGAGCAACUGCAAUCAACCUGUGACACCACUCCACCUUGCUUCUUGUAUCAUUACAUAACUAAAUAAUUCCAAGCUUUAUGAUCGUUGAUUCCAUAAAUUUAGAAAAAUAAAAUGUUAUACAUGUAUUGACUUACAGAUGGCUUUAAGGUGAAUAUAACAUUUGAAUUUUCCAGCAUUGUUCUCAAUCUAAUGAAAAUUAGAUCCUAUGAUCUGCUCAUCUGCUCUCGCUAUAUAGGUAUAGUGAUAGUAGAGGAGUGGAUCAUUAGGAUCAAAUUUUAAUUCUAAUUAGAUUGGCAUUGUUCUGAAAAUAAA